GACGAACCGUGCGAACGUUGUUCGGAAUCACUGGGCUUAAAGGGCGCGUAGGCGGGCAAGCAAGUCAGGGGUGAAAUCCCACGGCUCAACCGUGGAAGUGCCUUUGAUACUGCCUGUCUUGAGGGAGGUAGGGGCGUGCGGAACUUCCGGUGGAGCGGUGAAAUGCGUAGAUAUCGGAAGGAACACCGGUGGCGAAAGCGGCGCGCUGGACCUCUACUGACGCUGAGGCGCGAAAGCCAGGGGAGCAAACGGG
rnacentral:rRNA from 1 species